rnacentral:rRNA from 1 species
UACAGAGGUCCCAAGCGUUGUUCGGAUUUACUGGGCGUAAAGAGCUCGUAGGCGGUUUGUCGCGUCGUUCGUGAAAACUCACAGCUUAACUGUGAGCUUGCGGUCGAUACGGGCAGGCUAGAGUUCGGUAGGGGAGACUGGAAUUCCUGGUGUAGCGGUGAAAUGCGCAGAUAUCAGGAGGAACACCGGUGGCGAAGGCGGUUCUCUGGGCAUUACCUGACGCUGAGGAGCGAAAGUGUGGGGAGCGAACAGG